rnacentral:rRNA from 1 species
AAUGAACGUUGGCGGCGUGGAUUAGGCAUGCAAGUCGAGCGGGUAUAGCAAUAUAUCAGCGGCGAAAGGGAGAGUAACGCGUAGUUACGUGCCCCGAGGUCCAGAAUAGCCAGCCGAAAGGCUGGGUAAUGCUGGAUGAUAUCUCCGGAUCAAAGGUGUGAUUCCGCCUCGGGAGCGGACUGCGUCCUACUAGCUAGUUGGCGGGGUAAUGGCCCACCAAGGCAACGAUGGGUAGCGGGUGUGAGAGCAUGACCCGUCUCACUGGGACUGAGACACUGCCCAGACACCUACGGGUGGCUGCAGUCGAGAAUCUUCGGCAAUGAGCGCAAGCUUGACCGAGCGACGCCGCGUGCGGGAUGAAGGCCUUCGGGUUGUAAACCGCUUUCGGUUGGGAGGAAAUCGCUAGGGGUUCUCCCCUAGUGUUGACCUAUCUUCGGAAGAAGGACGGGCUAAGUUCGUGCCAGCAGCCGCGGUAAAAC